GUUCGUCGUCGCCUGCAAUUCUUGCAUUUUUUUUUUGCUGAUUUUCCUUUUCUUCUUUCUGUGAUUUCUUAGCUUUUCAGUUGGAACCUAAAGAGACUAAUUUGUGAAGACGUGAUGUCUCCAGCUCUGCUGGGUGUUGAGGAGGAAGGGCAGAGCAAUGUCUCUUUAGCGGCCUCUUCGACAUCCAUUGAUUGUAUCUCCCGGAAUGGCUGUGGAUUGAAAGAACGUAACUAUCUGGGUUUGUCAGAUUGUUCUUCAGUUGACAGCUCUGCAGUCCCAAGCUUAUCAGAGGAGAAUAAGAACAAUCUCAAUUUGAAGGCCACUGAAUUAAGGCUUGGUCUUCCUGGAUCUCAAUCUCCUGAAAUAGAAGCAGAUGUUUCGUUGCUAAGUACAGGGAAACUUGAUGAGAAGCCACUGUUUCCAAUGCUUCCUUUGAAGGAUGGAAUCUGCUCAUCAUUACAGAAGCAUGUUAUUUCAGGCAACAAAAGAGGAUUUUCUGACACAAUGGAUGGAUUCUCAGAGGUUAAGGGUUCUCUGUAUUCAGAAAAGAACUGGCUGUUUCACUCUGCUGUGACGGAGUCUGAUUCUCUGCAAUCCGUGGGGCAAGGGACAUUUCCUGGUAGUUCUGGGAUGAAUGCAAUGCAAUUGUCUAGGCCUUCUGGGGCUCAAUCACACAUGAUGAAAGAGGUGCCACAGAAAGUAUUACAGGACCGAUGUCAUGGUGCCAAUGGAACCAACCUGAACCAGGCUGGUACUUCAAACAACAGCAGCAGUGCCCCUGCUGCCAAGGCACAGGUUGUUGGUUGGCCUCCAAUUAAGUCAUUUAGGAAGAACACAUUAGCCUCCUCUUCAAAGAAUAAUGAUGAAGUCGAUGGAAAACCCAGUUCUGGUGCUCUUUUCGUCAAGGUCAGCAUGGAUGGUGCUCCUUAUUUGAGGAAGGUAGAUCUAAGAACUUACUCCACUUAUCAAGAACUCUCUUGUGCUCUUGAGAAGAUGUUCAGCUGUUUUACUAUAGGUCAAUGUGGGUCUCAUGGAGUUCCAGGGAAGGAAAAGCUGAGUGAGAGCAAGUUGAGGGAUCUUUUGAAUGGAUCGGAAUAUGUGCUUACAUAUGAGGAUAAGGACAGGGACUGGAUGCUUGUAGGGGAUGUACCAUGGGAGAUGUUUAUUGAUACAUGCAAGAGACUAAAGAUCAUGAAGAGCUCUGAUGCGAUUGGGUUAGCUCCCAGAGUGAUGGAGAAAUUCAAGAUCAAGGCCUAGCGAGGCUCUCUGGUUAUGCUUGAAGAGGAAUGCAUUUAAAGUUUAUCUAUACAGUAGUCAAGUGUUGUGUAUUUGAUGACUGAUGAAUCAAAGAUUACUUAAAUAUCGUGCUUUCAACUGCUGUUUUUGUUGGAUUGUAUUGUGAUGAUAUUAGUUUCAAUUCAUCGAAAGCUAAG
rnacentral:misc_RNA from 1 species